AGAUUUGACUCCUUCUUAUUUUAGCACCAGAUCCCCUGCAGAUCCAAUGAUUUUUCUCCAUGUGGACAGUGAGAUCUCCUGGAAAAUGGCUAUGGUGGUGUUAAGUUUAUUGUCUCUGUUCCUGGGGAGUCUGACUCUUUUCUUCGGUAUUUACGCUGAUAGCCGUCAGACCUGGACACCUUGCAGUCGUUGAGUGAGCUUGGCUGAAACUGGGUCAUGCAGCAGGAUAAUGAUCAGAAGCACAGCAGCAAGUCCAAAAAAAAACAGAAAAUGAUGGUGGCUAAGGCAAAGUCCAGACCUCAUUCCAACUGAAAUGCUGUGGUGGGACCUUGGGAGAACUUUGCACAAAUGAAUACCAGUAAACCUCAGAACUGAA